GUGUCAGCAGCCGCGGUAAUACGGAGGGAGCUAGCGUUGUUCGGAAAUACUGGGCGUAAAGCGCACGUAGGCGGCGCAGCAAGUCAGGGGUGAAAUCCCGGGGCUCAACCCCGGAACUGCCCUUGAAACUGCAGUGCUAGAAUUCUGGAGAGGCGAGUGGAAUUCCGAGUGUAGAGGUGAAAUUCGUAGAUAUUCGGAAGAACACCAGUGGCGAAGGCGACUCGCUGGACAGACAUUGACGCUGAGGUGCGAAAGCGUGGGGAGCAAACAGGAUUAGAAACCCCCGUAGUCC
rnacentral:rRNA from 1 species